rnacentral:rRNA from 1 species
GUCAAAGAAACGAAGGCUUACGGUGGAGACCUAGGCACUCAGAGACGAUGAAGGGCGCAGAUACCGGCGAUACGCUUCGGGGAGCUGGUCACAAGCAUAGAUCCGAAGAUCCCCGAAUAGGGCAACCUCGAAAGAACUCCUUUUUGAAUUCAUAGAAAAGGAAGAGGCAACCCAGUGAACUGAAACAUCUCAGUAGCUGGUGGAAAAGAAAGCAAAAGCGAUUCCCAAAGUAGCGGCGAGCGAAAUGGGAACAGCCUAAACCACUGUGCUUCGCGCAAGUGGGGUUGUGGGAAUCCAGUUUGUUGCAAAUUUGCAUUUGCAACUUUUUGUGCGUUUUUGUGAAUUCUUUGUUUUGUUUUUUUCAAAAAAAAACAAAAGAACGCACAAAAAUCGGCAAACCUUUGGGUUUGAGCGAUUUUUGAAACAGGUCAAGAGACGAAGCAGCUGAAUCCUGCACCAAAGAUGGUGAAAGUCCAGUAGUCAAAACCUUUGAAUUUUGGAAAAUCCCGAGUAGCAUGGGGCACGUGGAAUCCCGUGUGAAUCUGCGAGGACCACCUCGUAAGGCUAAAUACUCCUGAGUGACCGAUAGUGAAGAAGUACAGCGAUGGAAAGGUGAAAUAGAACCCCCGUAGGGGAGUGAAAAAGAACAUGAAACCGUAAGCUGACAAGCAGUGGGAGGUGAUAGAGACCUGACCGCGUGCCUGUUGAAGAAUGAGCCGGCGACUUAUAGGAAGUGGCAGGGUUAAGGAGUUGUAUCCGGAGCCCAAGCGAAAGCGAGUCUGAAUAGGGCGACAAAGUCACUUCUUAUGGACCCGAACCUGGAUGAUCUAAUCAUGGCCAGGUUGAAGCUUGGGUAACACCAAGUGGAGGACCGAACCGACCGAUGUUGAAAAAUCGGCGGAUGAGCUGUGAUUAGGGGUGAAAUUCCAAUCGAAUUCAGAGCUAGCUGGAUCUCCCCGAAAUGCGUUGAGGCGCAGCGGCGACGAUGUCCUGUCUAAGGGUAGAGCGACUGUUUCGGUGCGGGCUGCGAAAGCGGUACCAAGUCGUGGCAAACUCCGAAUAUUAGGCAAUGGAUUCCGUGAGCCAGUGAGACAGUGGGAGAUAAGUUCCAUUGUCAAGAGGGAAACAGCCCAGAUCAUCAGCUAAGGCCCCUAAAUGGCUGCUAAGUGGAAAAGGAUGUGAGAAUGCUGAAACAACCAGGAGGUUCGCUUAGAAGCAGCUAUUCCUUGAAAGAGUGCGUAAUAGCUCACUGGUAAAGCGUUCUUGCGCCGACAAUGGCCGGGACUAAGCAGCCUGCCGAAGCUAUGAGAUUUGAUCGCCAUUUCUUCUUUUUUUUUUUCAAUGAACAGAAGUUUUUUUUCAAUGAAAAAAAAGACCAGCGCUGAAGCUUACUUUGUAGGCAAAAGUGUGGUUUGCAAAGAAUUUUUGCAAAACAGUUGUGCAAGGAAAGAAGCGAAAACAAAUCGGUAGGGGAGCGUUCUGCAUUGGGUGAAGCUUCAACGUAAGUUUUGGUGGACAGUGCGGAAGUGAGAAUGAGCCAAUUGUUCUCAAUAAAACGGGUGAAUUGCAAGCACAACUGAUCGUCAUUGAUUUUGUUUACUUGCAUCGUAGUUUACAUUGAGUAAAAGCGAUCAACGACUAGAGGCUUGCCUCUUCCAGGAGGAGGCAGACGCUGAAUAAGUGCCCGAAAAUGGUGAAAUCACCUUUUAUGACAUAGCCUGAACUUUAAGGAAACUUAAAGAAAGUGGGAAUUUCGAACGUAUUCCUUCUCGUUUUUUUUUCAAUGAAAAGUUUUUUUCAAUGAACAGAAAAAAAAGAAAGCGAACCUCUCGUCGAAAUUUGUGACCAUAAACAUUCUUGGUCGGCUUGAGUAACGAAAACAUUGGUGAGAAUCCAAUGCCCCGAAAACCUAAGGGUUCCUCUACAAGGUUCGUCCAUGGGGGGUGAGUCAGGACCUAAGGCGAGGCCGAGCGGCGUAGUCGAUGGCAAACAGGUUAAUAUUCCUGUACGAAUUUUUGUGGGUUUGAGGGACGAAGAAAGCUAAAUUGGGUCUGUUUAUGGAUUGCAGUGGAAGCGUUCAAGGCGACGAAAGGUCGAAAAAAAACGAAUCUUGAGCUGAGGCGUGAUCCCGCUUUCGAGACUUGUCUCGAUAAGCGCCAAUGAUGUUCUACUUCCAAGAAAAGCUCGUACACCUCGAGGAGCAAUCUUCGAAAAACACAAAAAUUCCCUGUACCUGAAACCGACACAGGUAGGUUGGUAGAGAAUACCAAGGGGCGCGAGAGAACUCUCUCUAAGGAACUCGGCAAACUCGCCCCGUAACUUCGGAAGAAGGGGCGCCCUUGAAGAAGGGUCGCAGCGAACCGGUUCUGGCAACUGUUUAUCAAAAACACAGGUCUCCGCAAAGUCGUAAGACAAUAUAUGGGGGCUGACGCCUGCCCAGUGCCGGAAGGUCAAGGAAGUUGGUUCGAGUUUUCGAAUUCAAAGCUGACGACCGAAGCCCCGGUGAACGGCGGCCGUAACUAUGACGGUCCUAAGGUAGCGAAAUUCAUUGUCGAGUAAGUUUCGACCUGCACGAAAGGCGUAAUGAUCAGAACGCUGUCUCGGAGAGAGACUCGGUGAAAUAGACUUGUCCGUGAAGAUGCGGACUACUAAUACUUGGACAGAAAGACCCUAUGAAGCUUGACUGUAUCCUGGAAUUGGGUUCGGGCUUUUCUUGCGCAGUCUAGGUGGGAGGCUAUGAAGAUUUCCUUCCGGGGAAGUUGGAGCCAUCAGUGAGAGACCACUCUGGAGAGGCUAGAAUCCUAAUGGUGAUCCUUGAAUCAGGACACUUGACAGUUUCAGGUGGGCAGUUUUUCUGGGGCGGAAGCCUCAUAAAGGGUAACUGAGGCGCGCAAAGGUUCCCUCAGUCUGGACGGAAAUCAGACAACGAGUGUAAAGGCAAAAGGGAGCUUGACUGCAAGACCUACAAGUCGAGCAGGAGCGAAAGCUGGCCUUAGUGAUCCGACGGUGCCGUGUGGAAGGGCCGUCGCUCAACGAAUAAAAGUUACUCUAGGGAUAGACUUGUUGUCCCGUGAAUUUGAAAAAAUUCAAAAAAGAGUUUUGAAAUUUGCCAACUUCUUGCAAAAACAGCUUUUUUAGCAAAUUUGCAGUGUAUCAAAAUGAACAAGUUUUGAGCAUUCAACGACUAAUACAAAGAGAAUCAAUAGAGACUCACUCGAGUUUUGGUUUCUUUUUCUCGAAUACGUUGGCAGCCUUCGUUUUGCAUGAAAUUUGAAGAAAAUUCGAGCAAAAAAAAAGGAUAUGACAGAGUCUGAGCUUUGAUGGAAAUCAAAGUGGCUGUUUGGUUUUCUUUUUUUUUGAGAAGUUUCUUUUUUUUUGAGAAGUUUCUUUUUUUUGAGAAGAAAAAAGAGAAGUUUGAGAAGAAAAAAGAGAAGAAAAAAGAGAAGAAAAAAGAGAAGAAAACCAAACAAAGCAGUGGAUUUUCCUUUUUGGAAAGUUCAAAACACAUUGAACAGGCUGAUCUUCUCCAAGAGUUCACAUCGACGAGAAGGUUUGGCACCUCGAUGUCGGCUCAUCACAUCCUGGGGCUGUAGUAGGUCCCAAGGGUUGGGCUGUUCGCCCAUUAAAGUGGUACGUGAGCUGGGUUCAGAACGUAAACAAUACUGCGUUUAUCUGUAGUGAUAUAGAUAGAGUAUUGGCUUAUAUCGGUGAAACCUUCCUAUAGUCGAACUGCUAUAGAUGGCAACGCCGAGGGAAGACUUCAAUAUUUUGGUUCCAUAAAUUUUCUUAGAAUUCAGUAAAUAGAAAUUUUCAAACACUUAUGAAAAAUAUGAACAGAGAUGAUCUUAUUUAUUUAGCUGGUCUCAUCGAUGGUGAUGGGAGUAUUGUUGCACAAAUUGUUCGUCGAUCUGACUAUGUGUAUAGGUUUCAAAUUCGAUGCACUGUUCAAAUCACACAACUCAAAAAAAGACGACAUUUCUUAGAACAUAUACGAAAUAUCAUUGGAUAUGGAAUCGUUCGUGAUCGAGGAAAUAUUUCUGAUUAUGUUUUAACAGAAACAAGAUGUGUCUAUUCUUUUUUGAAACAACUUUCUCCAUUCCUUCGUAUGAAAAAAAAACAAGCAAAUCUUAUUCUUCGAAUAAUUGAACAAUUACCUUCUUCAAAAAAUUCUGUACUCUUAUUCAUUGAACUGUGUCGUAUUUCGGACCAUGUGGCUCAGUUAAAUGAUUCAAAAAAAAGAGAAAUAACUGCAGAAAUUGUAGCAAAAGAGCUCCAAGAGCUGAAGAUAAUCUAGAAAUAUUGUCGUCCCCGUAGAGACUUCAGCAAUUCUUUGAUUGAAUUGCUGGGAUAAGAUCUUGUGUGAAAGAUUUUAUAAUACGCCAACUCUUUGAGAUCCAAAAUUUCAAAGAUGAAGACAUAGUCCAUGCCUCCAUGAAAAUGGAGGAGAAAAUUACCAAAAAAGGUAAUGCAUGCGUAAGACAGUUCGGUCCAUAUCCGGUAUUAGCGUUAGAAUAUUGAGGUCAGUCACUCAUAGUACGAGAGGACCUGUAGUGAACAUGCCAAUGGUGUACCUGUUAUUUUUCCAAAAGUAAACGCAGGGUAGCCACGCAUGGAGUGAAUAAGUACUGAAUGCAUCUAAGUACGAAGUCCAGACCAAGAUGAGUAUUCUCCAUCAGGCCGCAGCAAGAGAAGCUGUCGUAUAGGUAUCAAGUGUAAGGCUAGUAAUGGUUUCAGCUGAGAUAUACUAAAGGCUAAUUGAUUUUGAC